rnacentral:lncRNA from 1 species
AUUAGGGAUUAAAGCGUAUGACUAUGUCCCGUUCUUAGUCAACUUCAUCCAAGUUCAAGGGACUGAACAAGCCAAUCACUUCCAUCCGACAGCAGGGGAUGAGAUGCUUGAAGACAUAAUGACCGUAGUAGACUUAAAAUCAAUAGGACUUCUUCCACAUAGCUUUCUCUUUGUUUUCGACAAUUUCCUCUUACUAGGAUUUUUGUCUCCUUGUACACAAAUUACCUGUUUAUAGGCCUUCUUUCAAAAUCAAUACAACCUUCUUUCAAAAGAUGCUUUUGUUUUUACUUUUUCUGUUUUGUUUGCGUAAACGUCCAUUGAUUUAAUUUGAAUUAAUAUAUGCAUUUGAAUAUGACCAAUGUUUACCAAAAUACAUGCAUAGAAUAGCAAUAGCAAUUACUACUUCAGGAUCGAGGAUAAGGUCUAACCAUGCUUCCAAUGAAUCCGUUACCAAUUCUCUUCCCCAGCAAGCCUAUUUUUCCCAGAAGAAAUUGGCAGUAUUCCC